rnacentral:lncRNA from 1 species
CCGGAGCCCGGGCGCCGCGGGGGCUCUGCCGGCUCGGGUCCCUCCUGACCGCCGAGGCCGCCGCUUUUCUUUGUACACUUUAGGCAACCUGGGCAGAGUCGUUUACAAAGAAAAUGACAGAUGCGUCUUUUCAAAUAUUUAAAUACUGAAGACCGGGUACGCCUUGGUCUUGAAGACUCCGGAAGGUUUUAUUUAUGGAUGUUUGUUUUAAAAAAGAGAGAAUAGCUGAAAAUGGCCAAAUAGACUGCCGCAUACUUACAAAAAUAGAAAGUUUUUUUUAGUUCCCGGCCUGCGUCCAGCAGGGGAAAGUUUUAGUCUCUGAAGAGCCUUUCAGGAAGCUUUGGGCGGUGGUGGCGGUGGUAUGAAGAGCUGCAGUGGCCUCCCUAACUUCAGCUGAAUUUAGUUUUCUUUGGGGGGAAAAAAAAGGUGAUGAAUGCGCCCUAGGAAUGGCUCUUUAUUAAAUUACGAGCCAGAGCCGCAGGUGUCGCUGCCGCCCCGGGCAGGCUGCUCGGGGGAGAAACGCGCCCAAACGCCCGGGGAGUCUGAAGCAGAUGCUGUCGAGGAAGGAGA